CCCGCCCUGCCCGCAGCCCUGCUGCCGCCCGCGCCGGGAGCGCGCGGCUGCGCUCUGCCAGCCGCUCCCGCUUCCUCGGCCCCCGAGCGCCAACCGCCGCCAGCACCGGUAACGGCCCCCGAACGCGAAUCGCCGCCAGGACCGUUAAGGGCCCCCGAGCGCCAACCGCCGCGAGGACCGUUAACGGCCCCCGAACGCGAACCGCCGCCAGGACCGGUAACGGCCCCCGAACGCGAACCGCCGCCAGGACCGGUAACGACUCCCGAGCGCGAACCGCCGCCAGGACCGUUAACGGCUCCCGAACGCCAACCGCCACCAGGACCGUUAACGACUCCCGAGGGCGAACCGCCGCGAGGACCGUUAACGGCUCCCGAACGCGAUUCGCCGCCAGGACCGUUAACGACUCCCGAGGGCGAACCGCCACGAGGACCGUUAACGGCCCCCGAGCGCGAACCGCCGCCAGGACCGUUAACGACUCCCGAACGCCAACCGCCGCGAGGACCGUUAACGACUCCCAAGCGCGAACCGCCGCGAGGACCGUUAACGGCCCCCGAACGCCAACCGCCRCCAGGACCGUUAACGACUCCCGAGGGCGAACCGCCGCCAGGACCGUUAACGGCUCCCGAACGCGAUUCGCCGCGAGGACCGUUAACGACUCCCGAGGGCGAACCGCCGCCAGGACUGUUAACGACUCCCGAACGCCAACCGCCGCCAGGACCGUUAACGGCCCCCAAACGCCAACCGCCGCCAGGACCGUUAACGGCUCCAGAGCGCGAACUGCCGCCAGGAUCGGGAGCCGUCCCCGAGCGCGAACUGCGGCGGGGACCGUUAGCCUUUAGCCCCCGAGCGGCAGCCCGCAGCGCUCCCCACAAGCUCCCCGGCUUGGCGAGCGCAGCCCGCGGAGGGAGGUCUCGGGGCGGGCCGCCGGGGAGGACGACGGGUGCCCCGCUGCCCUGGGGUGCGGAGGAGGCUGGGGGAGCGCAGGUGGGGCUGGGGAGGAACAGCCGCUCCCGGGCAAGGCAGAAGGGGCCUCAGCAGCCCGAGGCGGCUCUCGGGCGCCCUUCGGCACCGCCGGCUGCCCAGGCGCGCGCCUGGUCCCGCCAGCCCCGGCCGCGUCCCCGCUGUGCUUGGAGGCGCUGCCUCUCCCGGGAGCGCUUGCGGAGAAGCUCACAGAGGGAUUGCUUGCGCGUUUUACACAUUCUUAUGUAG
rnacentral:lncRNA from 1 species